rnacentral:rRNA from 1 species
AUUGAACGCUGGCGGCGUGCCUUACACAUGCAAGUCGAACGGCAGCACGGGGGCAACCCUGGUGGCGAGUGGCGAACGGGUGAGUAACACAUCGGAACGUGCCCAGUAGUGGGGGAUAGCUCGGCGAAAGCCGGAUUAAUACCGCAUACGACCUACGGGUGAAAGCGGGGGAUCGCAAGACCUCGCGCUAUUGGAGCGGCCGAUGUCAGAUUAGGUUGCUGGUGGGGUAAAGGCCUACCAAGCCGACGAUCUGUAGCUGGUCUGAGAGGACGACCAGCCACACUGGGACUGAGACACGGCCCAGACUCCUACGGGAGGCAGCAGGUGGGGAAUUUUGGACAAUGGGCGCAAGCCUGAUCCAGCCAUGCCGCGUGCGGGAAGAAGGCC